GACGUAGGGUGCAAGCGUUUGUCCGGAAUUAUUGGGCGUAAAGAGUUCGUAGGCGGUUAUUUAAGUCUGGUGUUAAAGACGGGAGCUCAACUCCCGCAUGGCAUUGGAAACUGGAUAGCUAGAGUACGGUAGAGGUCUCGGGAAUUCCAGGUGUAGCGGUGAAAUGCGUAGAUAUCUGGAGGAACACCGGUGGCGAAAGCGCGAGACUGGGCCGUAACGUGACGGCUGAGGAGCGAAAGCGUGGGGAGCGAACAGG
rnacentral:rRNA from 1 species